rnacentral:lncRNA from 1 species
GAUCCCAUCUCUCAGAUCUCCAUUUCCCUCUUCUCUACUGGUUGGAGGCUUAAAGAAGGAUAUUUUCAAAUCUAGAAUGAAGGGUUUCAGAUCUAGUAUCAAUAGGGUUCAGGGAGAGGAAGAACAAGGUGAAGAUGGGCAAAGGCUGUAGUUUUGCAAAAGGUGGCAGGGACUCUCUUUCUUGUGCAGUUUAGCUUUAGAUUUUGGAUGCCCCAAUGCUCUAAUCUCUAGGAGGAUAAUCAGGUGAUCUCAUGGGGAUGUUUGAGCUCUAAUUUGAUUCAAAUCAGCAGUGUGUA